UACGUAGGGCGCAAGCGUUUGUCCGGAAUUAUUGGGCGUAAAGAGCUCGUAGGCGGUUUGUUGCGUCGGCUGUGAAAUCCCGAGGCUCAACCUCGGGUCUGCAGUCGAUACGAGCAAACUAGAGUGUUGCAGGGGAGACUGGAAUUCCUGGUGUAGCGGUGGAAUGCGCAGAUAUCAGGAGGAACACCGAUGGCGAAGGCAGGUCUCUGGGCCACUACUGACGCUGGAGAAGCGAAAAGCAUGGGGGAGCGAACAGG
rnacentral:rRNA from 1 species